UUCACCUCACCAAAAUUCCAUCAAAUCCUCAUCAAUUUCUCAAAGAAAUUUCAAGGAACAUCAAGAUUUGAGAUUGGGUAAAAGUGAAAAGCCAUAAAUCAAGAUUUGUCAUAAUUGCUCCAUAGCAAUUUGUGACUUGUUCUUGUUACUUUUCACUCUUCUUCACCUUUACCUCUUUAAUUAAUUGAUGAAUAUUGUUGUUGAUUUGUGGAUGGGUUGUGAGUAGUCUAUUUAGGAAGCUAGGGUUUGAGCCCUAGCAUGGAUUUAAUAUGCAUGCUUAAGAGCUUGAUUAACUCUUCAAUGUGUAGAUGAGCAUGUCUAGAAAAAAUUAGGGGACCUAAUCACUUCUCUAAUUUAUGGAUAGGACACUUGUUUAGAACAUGGUUAGUUACAAUACCAAUUUCGAUUGCCGUAUUGGCUAGCUUGGGAACCUUGAUUCUAGUACUCUUCGCCUUUUGGUGCAACUAGAGGCCUUAACAAGGCUCUAGAUUGUCCCAAUUGAGUUUCUACGACCCUUGAUCCGGAGUAGGAAUACCUUUUAAGGAAUCUAUUGACCCAUGAGCCUUGAAAAGCCUUGGGUACGGUUCUUGAUGCCACUAUGAAUUGAAUGACCAUUGUCGGAAUAUAUUUGUGCAUUAAAUUUGGCUAGGAGGAUACCCUAGUGACCUAAUUUUCAUUUCUUGAUAAGUUUGUAUUAUCUUUAUCUUUAGUUGCAAUAUUAAUUUUCAAUUGUCAAUUUUAUUUUUCGCAAUCAAAAUCAAAUUUCAUAAACCACUUUCAUUGUCAAUACCACUUGGUUGUGGGUUUCCGCAUUUAUUUGUGGUUCUCUUGACCAAUUUUAGGCUUGGUUGUUCCGAGCCGGGCAUGUAAAUAGUUUG
rnacentral:lncRNA from 1 species